UACGUAGGGUGCAAGCGUUGUCCGGAAUUAUUGGGCGUAAAGAGCUCGUAGGCGGUUUGUCGCGUCGAAUGUGAAAACCCGGGGCUCAACCCCGGGCCUGCAUUCGAUACGGGCAGACUAGAGUUCGGUAGGGGAGUCUGGAAUUCCUGGUGUAGCGGUGAAAUGCGCAGAUAUCAGGAGGAACACCGGUGGCGAAGACGGGACUCUGGGCCGAUACUGACGCUGAGGAGCGAAAGCGUGGGGAGCAAACAGG
rnacentral:rRNA from 1 species